rnacentral:tRNA from 1 species
GCGGGAGUAGCUUAAUGGUAAAGCUCCUGCCUUCCAAGCAGGUGACGCGGGUCCGAUUCCCGUCUCCCGCUCCA